AUUAUGAAAAAGAGGGAGUAGAAGAUUUGGUUACCUUCACUGCAGCUAAGAAACUAAAUGCUCUCAUUAAGUACAUCACAAAAAAGCAUUCUCAUGCUAAGACAGGACAACACAUUUAUUUUCGUUUCAAAGAUAAUGAUGGAUGCAUUGAGCUAAAAUUUGAUACUCCACAAAAGAAGAAUAUUACUGAUUGGACUAUAGACCCUCAUGUUGAACCAUGUAGGUUGUAUCGUUGUGAUGUUGAAAAUUUUGGUAGCAAAGAUUAUCCUCUUCCUCCAUCUUGUCUGAUAUCAGUGUAUGAAUCACCUGAUGCUGUCCCUACACUACAUUACUCCAUACCACUGGAAGGUGUGGCUGAUCCUGUUUCAUUAUACAUCCUUAGAUCACUACAGAGAAAUCUUCCUCCUCCUCCUUCAACAGAUCCUACUACCUCCUCCUC
rnacentral:lncRNA from 1 species